rnacentral:lncRNA from 1 species
CUUACACUGAUACUAGAAUGACAAAAGUAGAAAAAAAUCUAGUUCGCCGGGCAUGAAAUACCAAAAGAGAAUAAAGAAAAAGAAAAGAAAAAAAUAAAGCACACAAAUAUUUACAUGAUUCAGCCACAGGCCUACAUCCACGAGCGAAAAUACAGUGCAAAUUUUUAUUAUAAUCAAAGCGGUGUACAAAAUAUGCCUCUUUCAUAAAACCCUAGUCUAAAAAACUAUACUCAUAUUUCUACUCAUCUGACGCACCAAAUCAGCGGAAUAAAUGAUAUAUUUAUAAUAGUGACUAAUCCUAACACAAUUAGAAAUAUAAAUUCAUUAAGAUUAGGACCAAUCUUAAUAAGAUAAUGAGAUAAUCAAAUUAGAAUAGGGUUAAAAAAAAAUCUGGCAGCUCUAGAAUUCGAGACAUAUCUAACAUCACCUAAUGAAGACAUCAAUCCUUGAAGUUUAAUAAGAAAGUUCAUG